rnacentral:rRNA from 1 species
UCCUGUUUUAUCAAAAACAUAGCCCCUUGAUUUCCAUGAGGGGUCCUGCCUGCCCAGUGGUAUUUCUAAACGGCCGCGGUAUCUUGACCGUGCAAAGGUAGCAUAAUCAUUUGUCUUUUAAAUGAAGACUCGUAUGAACGGCAAAACCUUCUUUAACUGUCUCUCUCAUCUCCCUUCUAAACUCUUAUCCACGUGAAGAAGCGCGGAUACUCCAGAAAGACGAGAAGACCCUGUCGAGCUUCAGUCUUAAUGGGAAACACACCCCCUAAACUUUAUAGGACUAUCGUCAAUCCUACCCAAGGCUUUGGUUGGGGCAACCAUGGAGAAAAAAUACCCUCCAGCAGUAAUAGAAGAAAUCAACUCUCUAUAACUUACAGUAACGAACCAGAAACUGGUAACCGGAAAAAGUUACCGCAGGGAUAACAGCGUUAUCUUCUCUAAGAGUCCUUAUUGACGAGAAGGUUUGCGACCUCGAUGUUGGAUUAGGGCAUCCCUAGGGUGCAGAAGCUCUAAAAGGUUGGACUGUUCGUCCAUUAAAGCCCCACGUGAUC